GAGUCUCGCACAGAUGCAUAUCAAUAAGCGGAGGAAAAGAAACUAACAAGGAUUCCCCUAGUAACGGCGAGUGAAGCGGGAAGAGCUCAAAUUUGAAAUCUUAAAGGGUUUCCCUUUACGAAUUGUAGUUUAAAGAAGUGUUUUCUGUUGAGGUUUUGGUAAAAGUUCUUUGGAAUAGGACAUCAUAGAGGGUGAGAAUCCCGUAUUUGACCUUUACUUUCAACUUUGUGAUACACUUUCGAAGAGUCGGAUUGUUUGGGAAUGCAGUCCAAAGUGGGUGGUAAAUUUCAUCUAAAGCUAAAUAUUGGCGAGAGACCGAUAGCGAACAAGUACCGUGAGGGAAAGAUGAAAAGAACUUUGAAAAGAGAGUUAAACAGUACGUGAAAUUGUCAAAAGGGAAGCGUUUGACACCAGUGUUGUUUUUCUGAAAAUCAAUUAAAGAACUGUUUAUGCUAAGCUGUUUAGACUUUAUCAGCUAUCUGUUUAGUUUUGAGCUUUUCUUUAAUGCACCUUUCAGUUAACAAGUCAACAUCAAUUUCUUUUGCUGUAAAAAAGCUUGAGGAAGGUGGCUUGAGAUUCGUCUUAAGUGUUUAUAGCCUCUUGCCUAUGCAGUCGGAGAGAUUGAGGUCUGCAGCGUAGAUCCUUCGGGGCUAAAUGCAUUUGUGCUAAGUUAUAGCAUUUUAUAGACAACUUGUUGACUAUGAUUUGUCUUGUAGCUUACUCGCUUAUGUUAUUUUACCUACGCUUAGGAUGUUGAUCUGUAGUGCGUGCGC
rnacentral:rRNA from 1 species